AUGGUCCUCAAACUUGACUUCACCAAGGCGUUCGACUCCAUCAACUAGGCGACCUUGUGCGUUGUGAUGGCGGCCAGGGGGUUCCCGUCGCUCUGGUGCGACUGGAUGGUUGCCCUCUUCCACUCCUCGAGCUCGGCGGUCUUGUUGAACGGGGUGCCAGGGCGAUGGUUCCGGAUGCGCUGCGGCCUCAGGCCGGGGGACCCCAUCUCCCCCUACCUCUUCCUCAUCGUCGCCGACAUGCUCCAACGGCUGAUCCGCCAGGAUGAUGUGCUUCGCCACCCUCUCCUUCCGGCGUGCCUGCGGUGGUGCUGCGGUACGCCGAUGACAUGCUGA
rnacentral:rRNA from 1 species